rnacentral:tRNA from 1 species
GAGACUUUAAUUUAAUUGGUAAAAUAUAUGACUUUUAAUCAUUAUAAUGACGGGUUCGAGUCCCGCAGGUCUUAAACACGGCCA